CGCGUAGGCGGCGCGGUAAGUCUUCUGUGAAAUCCCCGGGCUUAACUCGGGGCCUGCAGGAGAAACUGCCGUGCUGGAGUGUGGGAGAGGCGAGUGGAAUUCCCGGCGUAGCGGUGAAAUGCGUAGAUAUCGGGAGGAACACCAGUGGCGAAGGCGGCUCGCUGGACCACAACUGACGCUGAGGCGCGAAAGCUAGGGGAGCAAACAGGAUUGGAUACCCUGGUAGUCCUAGCCUUAAACGAUGAAUGCUUGGUGUGAUCGGUAUCCAAUCCGAUUGUGCCGCAGCUAACGCGAUAAGCAUUCCGCCUGGGGAGUACGGUCGCAAGGCUGAA
rnacentral:rRNA from 1 species